UGGGGAAUAUUGCACAAUGGGCGCAAGCCUGAUGCAGCGACGCCGCGUGAGGGAUGACGGCCUUCGGGUUGUAAACCUCUUUCAGUAGGGAAGAAGCGAAAGUGACGGUACCUGCAGAAGAAGCGCCGGCUAACUACGUGCCAGCAGCCGCGGUAAUACGUAGGGCGCAAGCGUUAUCCGGAAUUAUUGGGCGUAAAGAGCUCGUAGGCGGUUUGUCGCGUCUGCUGUGAAAGACCGGGGCUCAACUCCGGUUCUGCAGUGGGUACGGGCAGACUAGAGUGAUGUAGGGGAGACUGGAAUUCCUGGUGUGGCGGUGAAAUGCGCAGAUAUCAGGAGGAACACCGAUGGCGAAGGCAGGUCUCUGGGCAUUAACUGACGCUGAGGAGCGAAAGCAUGGGGAGCGAACAGG
rnacentral:rRNA from 1 species